CCUACGGGAGGCAGCAGUGGGGAAUAUUGCACAAUGGGGGAAACCCUGAUGCAGCGACGCCGCGUGAGCGAAGAAGUAUUUCGGUAUGUAAAGCUCUAUCAGCAGGGAAGAAGAAAUGGCGGUACCUGACUAAGAAGCACCGGCUAAAUACGUGCCAGCAGCCGCGGUAAUACGUAUGGUGCAAGCGUUAUCCGGAUUUACUGGGUGUAAAGGGAGCGCAGGCGGUACGGCAAGUCUGAUGUGAAAGCCCGGGGCUCAACCCCGGUACUGCAUUGGAAACUGUCGGACUAGAGUGUCGGAGGGGUAAGUGGAAUUCCUAGUGUAGCGGUGAAAUGCGUAGAUAUUAGGAGGAACACCAGUGGCGAAGGCGGCUUACUGGACGAUUACUGACGCUGAGGCUCGAAAGCGUGGGGAGCAAACAGGAUUAGAUACCCUGGUAGUCC
rnacentral:rRNA from 1 species